rnacentral:rRNA from 1 species
UAAUACGGAGGGGGCGAGCGUUGUCCGAAUUUAUUGGGCGUAAAGCGCGUGUAGGCGGACUGUCAAGCCUGAGGUGAAAGGUUGGGGCUCAACCCCAUACAGUGCCUUGGGGACUGGUAGUCUGGAGGCAGGCAGAGGUGCGUGGAAUUCCUGGUGUAGCGGUGGAAUGCGUAGAUAUCAGGAAGAACACCCGUGGCGAAGGCGGCGCACUGGGCCUGUACUGACGCUGAGACGCGAAAGCGUGGGGAGCGAACGGGAUUAGAUACCCCGGUAGUCCACGCCGUAAACGAUGGAUGCUCGGUGUCGGGGGUAUUGACCCCCUCGGCGCCUAAGUCAACACGGUAAGCAUCCCGCCUGGGGAGUACGGCCGCAAGGUUGAAACUCAAAUGAAUUGACGG